CACCUGCAGCGGUUUCUUCGGCAGAAGCAGAAGUCCUGAAUGUGUCUGAAAAUCGGCUUGUGGAUGAGUUAAUAAAACAAAAGCUCAACUAUGUACUGGAUGUUGAGAGACCAGCAAAUGAAUUGACUGCCCGCACUGCAAAGGCAUGCUUGACCCGGUCAGACUUUUGGAGCCUGGGCUUAAAUAAAGACGGAAUAAACUAUUGGUAAUAGUUGUUUUCAGUUGAUUGAAAACAUUGCCCUAUCAAAGGGGAAAGUCUACACUGCUGACCUGUAUGUUGUGCCUACAUGGCUUUCCACGACACACGGCCUCAAGUGCUCUAUUGCUUUUACACAACAGUUAAACAAAA